rnacentral:rRNA from 1 species
CUCCUACGGGAGGCAGCAGUGGGGGAUAUUGCGCAAUGGGCGAAAGCCUGACGCAGCGACGUCGCGUGGGUGAUGAAGGCCCUCGGGUCGUAAAGCCCUGUCGAGGGGGAAGAAACGGUCGAGACCCAAUACGUCUCGACCUUGACGGUACCCCUAAAGGAAGCACCGGCUAACUCCGUGCCAGCAGCCGCGGUAAUACGGAGGGUGCGAGCGUUGUUCGGAAUCACUGGGCGUAAAGCGCGUGCAGGCGGCUCGGUAAGUCUGGUGUGAAAGCCCGGGGCUCAACCCCGGAAGUGCACUGGAUACUGCCGAGCUCGAGUCCCGGAGAGGAGGGUGGAAUUCCUGGUGUAGCGGUGAAAUGCGUAGAUAUCAGGAGGAACACCGGCGGCGAAGGCGGCCCUCUGGACGGUGACUGACGCUGAGACGCGAAAGCGUGGGGAGCGAACAGGAUUAGAUACCCUGGUAGUCCACGCUGUAAACGAUGAUGACUCGAUGUUGGCGAUAUACCGUCAGCGUCCUAGCGAAAGCGUUAAGUCAUCCACCUGGGGAGUACGCUGGCAACAGUGAAACUCAAAGGAAUUGACGG